AUAGCUCCCUUCCUCAUCAUCACCAGAACCAGAACGGUUCCUGCGCUGCUCAUUAUCAUCAUCAUCAUCGUCAUUGCGACGACCAUAGCUAGGCUUCCUGUAACUCCCCUCUUCCUGUUCCUCAGACCUUCCAUAGCUAGGCUUCCUGUAACUCCCUUCCUCCUGAUCCUCAGAUCUUCCAUAGCUAGGCUUAAUGUAACUCUCCACCUGUUCCUCAGACCCUCCAUAACUUGGUUUCCUGUAACUACCUUCCUCCUGAUCCUCAGAUCUCCCAUAGCUAGGCUUCCUGUAACCUUCCUCUUGAUCCUCAGAUCUCCCAUAGCUAGGCUUCCUGUAACCUUCCUCUUGUUCCUCAGAUCUUCCAUAGCUAGGCUUCCUGUAGCCUUCCUCUUGAUCCUCAGAUCUUCCAUAGCUAGGCUUCCUGUAACUUCCUUCUUCCUGAUCCUCAGAUCUUCCAUAGCUAGGUUUCUUGUAACCUUCCUCUUGUUCCUCAGACCUUCCAUAGCUAGGCUUCCUGUAACCUUCUUCUUGUUCCUCAGACCUACCAUAGCUAGGCUUACGCUCAUACUCAGACUCUGAUCUGCCACCAUAUCCAGAUCCAAGACCCGAUUCAGGUCUCCUCCCAUACUCAACCUCAGUUCUUCCACCACCAG
rnacentral:lncRNA from 1 species